UACGUAGGGGGCAAGCGUUGUCCGGAAUCAUUGGGCGUAAAGAGCGUGUAGGCGGCCCGGUAAGUCCGCUGUGAAAGUCCAGGGCUCAACCCUGGAAUGCCGGUGGAAACUGUCGGGCUAGAGUCCGGAAGAGGCGAGUGGAAUUCCUGGUGUAGCGGUGAAAUGCGCAGAUAUCAGGAAGAACACCAAUGGCGAAAGCAGCUCUCUGGGACGGUACUGACGCUGAGACGCGAAAGCGUGGGGAGCGAACAGG
rnacentral:rRNA from 1 species